rnacentral:rRNA from 1 species
UACGGGGGGGGGCAAGCGUUGUUCGGAAUUACUGGGCGUAAAGGGCUCGUAGGCGGCCAACUAAGUCAGACGUGAAAUCCCUCGGCUUAACCGGGGAACUGCGUCUGAUACUGGAUGGCUUGAAUCCGGGAGAGGGUAGUGGAAUUCCUGGUGUAGCGGUGAAAUGCGCAGAUAUCAGGAAGAACACCCGUGGCGAAGGCGGCUCUCUGGUACGUGACUGACGCUGAGACGCGAAAGCGUGGGGAGCGAACAGG